AGCCGCAGCACCACCAGCUAUCGUUAAAGAGCUCAGCGUUGUCACAACGCAUAUUAAAUCUACUUCAGAAGCUGCAGUUCGUUUACAACGUAGUGACUUCCUCACUGCUUGUAUAACAUAGCUAUUUUGUAUAUGAAAAAGCAAUUAACCUGCUCAGUCUAUUCACUCUUUCUCCAAUGCUUUGGAACAUCACAAGGCCCAAUGGUAUCCCCACAAUGGCAUAACACAUUGUGAAGAGUUUGCCACCGAUUGUGCUUGGCGUGGAAUGACCGUAACCGAUAGUUGUCAACACUGUUGUUGCAUAGUAAAAUGCACCAGUGAAUUUCCAUUGUUGACCAGCUUUAUGUGGUUCUGACUUAAGCACAACUGUCUCCAUCACUUUGAAGUCCUCUUGUGAAAUAUUGUAUCUUCGUAUUAUCAUAUCUUCCACAGCUAAAAUGGAAUAAGCAGAAAUGAGCUAUUACAAAUAUCUCCUCGAUUUGAAAAUAUAUUCCAAGGUUCGUUUUUACCCUGAGACGGCAAAUUUGGAUUUGAACUGGCCGAUUCAUUUUGAAAUAGUAGGUGAAAACCCGAAAAUGAGAAAGAAAAACAAAAAAAACAGAUUCCGGUCUACGAAAUAAUGUUCCACAGGUUUGUUUUAAUGAUCUUUCGUUUAGCAACAGUUUUGUAGAUAUGAAUAAUUGAGCUCGUUCGAAGGAAUUCAAUCAAAUAAUUAAGAAAUAAGUUCAUGUCUAGUAGAACUCGCCAUUUACAAGGAGGCGAGGGAACAUUCGGGAAACAUAUGAACCGAUUUCAUACAUUUUUAUCAGCACGAAUUGUUAUGUCUAAAAUGCUCACAUAAUAUCAUUACAAUAUUAAUAUAUUCGGAAUAAAGACCACCGGAUCAUUUCCUUAAAAUUUCAAGCAGUUUAAAAUCGAGCACAAGCACAGAAGUUUUAAUAUUGGUAUCUGAGAUUUUGAAAAGAUAUACUUCGAUUUCGAACAUUUCUGGAAGGAAGUGGACACAUAUCCGAAGGAUUGGGUAUCCCAAGUUCUAUUUCAAUAUAUUCAUUGUAUGGUAUCUGAGGUUUUGAAAAGAUAUACUUCGAUUUCGAACAUUUCUGGAAGGAAGUGGACACAUAUCCGAAGGAUUGGGUAUCCCAGGUUCUAUUUCAAUAUAUUCAUUGAUGCUUUAUUUUUUAUCUAAUAUAGAGUGAAAUGUUAUCUGCUGGAUGAAUGUACAUACUAAAUAUUUUGAGUGCACGUGAAAGCAACAAAAUCGGUCAAAGUGCAGGCUGAAUACGCUUCCAAUUACUAUUCAAGAUGAUUUUAUAAGAUGUUAUGUACUUUAAUAUUUACCACCGAUAUUCAUUAACAAUUGACGUCAACACAGUCAAAUGACAAAAUCUGUUGGAAAGCCACUCGUUUGAAAGUGCACACGAACACCAUAAACAUGCCAAACAUGUAAGUGACUAGCCGGAUGCAUAGUUGUAAAUAAAUGUGUGUCUUUGUGUACGUAACCCUCUCAUGCAUGAGAGCACCUUAGCACAAGCACAUACUUUAUUUAAUGUGCUUACAGAAGUGGGCCACUUGUGAUUGUCGUCUUGCCGAUUUAUUUUUAUAUAUGUAUAUGUAAACACAUGUUUGUACAUACAUAUGUAAAUAGAUAGUCGCGUUUUCCUACAGAUGAGCACACUUACAGUUAUUUUGUUUAAAUAUUGAUACUCACCUUGCAGUGCUUCCCAGCGCCGCUUUUCCGUUUCCGAUUCGAGCGAGUCAAAUACAGCAGCUCCAACUAGUAAAUAUGUAAAUGUGCACACGAUCAAGGAUAUCGUGCGAACAUUUUGUUUCUUCAUUCUUCAUUUAGGCGAAGUUUUAUUUUUAGUUUCAUUAUCAUUGCGAUUAUAAUGAAUACUUGUAUUUUCUAUUUGAAUAUUGAAAAUACAUCACUUGACACUGUUGAAUCGCUAAGCGCUAAAUACAUUCAAACUCCGUUGCAAUUAUACAUAUAUGCAUAGAUAUCAGUUUAUCAGUUUAUAGGUCUGUACAUUAUUGUAUUGGAAUUUAUGAAAUUGAUCGUGAUCUUAUUAUCCACACGUUUUUAACAAUUAUAUUGUUGUCGUUAGAUGUAACAAUUUUCCAAUAUUUUGGCAUUUAUAAAGGAGUUGUCUUAGCCGUGUGCUUAAUAUGUAGGUUUUGAAAAUUUUUUAUUAUUUUUUCCACUUUUUGUUUUUUUUUUUUUAAGUACGAAUCUUUUGCUUAUGCACUAAAUUCUUAACUAUAUAAAUUAACAUUUCAUCACUUUAGUUUUUAAUACACAGUUAUUCGAAUUUUUAUCUAAAAAUAAAAGAAAUCGUGUAUGAAUACGUUUGAUCUCUUUCCUCUUCAUGCGAAAAGUCAUAUUCUCUCAUAAAACUCAAGAUGUAAUAUGAUAAACUCCCGUGUAUCUUUUUUUCUAUUUCCAAAACUCAAAUGUUGAUUUUAGAAAGUCGUUCCCGUUCCCACGACGGUUUUUCUGCAACCGAAAUGGAAACUGAUCUUUACCCAGACAAGAGCUAUCAAUCCGAAUAUUUUCUACCGCUACAACAACAAAAAAAAAAACAUAAAAUAAUUUCACCGAAAGGCCUAAAAUUCGUUUCAAAUGAAGAUUCAUAUUUGUAGUCUUCCAAAAGUAUGACAACAGUCAAUGGAUUUCAAAGAAACUCGCUUGCGCGGGCAAAAUGUUACCAGUAUCUCAUUAACAUAGACGAUGGCAUUAAGAAUUUCAGAAGUAAUCUUAAUCUCGCAUUUGACUUUAAAAAAUCGACAGUGGAAAUGUAAGUUUCGUAGAACGGUCGCUCAGAAGGAUAAUGAAACUAUUUACGUUUGCACUCUAUGAUGACCUUGUGUUAUUUUUAACCGAACACGAGGUUAUAAUCUUACAAAACACAAGUAAAUUUACGUCACAUUCAUUCGAAUCGCGUAUGCAACUGUAUAACGGCGACUUUACCACCACGCAGCAAAGCUUCGAAAAGUUUCAACACAGUUGAGCGUCGUGUUUGUUGGUAUUUUAGUGACGAUAUCAUUAUUGUUAAUCUUGGUGGCAAAAGGCACAGUACUGGUCGUAUCGAAAUCAUGUAUCCUUGCUGUAUAAGGACCAUUUAAUUAUGCACAUAUGUAUGUAUGUAUGUAAGAUAAAUUUAAAUACACACAAGGAUUAUUAUUAAGCAGACUUAACGAAAGUUAACCACUUUUGUUGUUGUUAAAUAUAUUCAAGUAACAGUUUUGCGAUAAAUCCUUUGUAAAAAACACCCAACUACUGAAUGCACAUGUUUUGAACAAACUUUGCCACAUAUUUAUUACACGAGCUACUCCACCGAAAGUCAGCUUGCUCUGCUUUGUGCUUGUCUGGCUACAGUCAAAUAAACAUAUUUGAAAUCGUAUACUUGUGAACUUUAUUGCAAUAAACGUCUUUGAGCAAAGGACUCACGAAGGCUGUGUGCCGACAAUUGCAUCAUGUACUUGAUGGCUGAACAAAUGAUGAAAAGUUACUCUCUUGCCGCUGAUUUGAGAGCAAAAUCUCUGCUCUCAGUACAUCCUAGUGAAUUUGAUUUGUAUUUCGAAGUGACAGGGAUAACUGGAUGUACAUGGCAUUUAUAUAGCGGCACAAUAACAACAAUACUUGCUUUUACAUAUACAUAUAUAUAUAUAUAUAUAUAUAUAUAUAUAUAGAAAUGCAUAUAUAAUAAAAGAAGCAUAUGUAUUUUAAGGAA